AUCACUUCUCGGUCUUCUGGCAAAGAUCAAGUACAGUAUCUGUUCUUAUCAGUUUAAUAUCUGAUACAUCCUCUAUCCAAGGACAAUUUAUCAAAUGGAUUUUUGGCACUGGGAGAUGGAUUAGGGGCUUGCUCUAUCCACUCCAUGCAUCAACCUGGUACUGCUGUCCUUCCAGGAACAGCACAAAAAAA
rnacentral:snRNA from 1 species